GGCGAGGUAGCUCAGUUGGUAGAGCAGGGGACUGAAUAUCCCCGUGUCGUGGGUUCGAGUCCAUCCCUUGCCACCA
rnacentral:tRNA from 1 species